rnacentral:rRNA from 1 species
UGAGUAACCUGCCCUUAACUCUGGGAUAAGCCUGGGAAACUGGGUCUAAUACCGGAUAUGACUCCUCAUCGCAUGGUGGGGGGUGGAAAGCUUUAUUGUGGUUUUGGAUGGACUCGCGGCCUAUCAGCUUGUUGGUGAGGUAAUGGCUCACCAAGGCGACGACGGGUAGCCGGCCUGAGAGGGUGACCGGCCACACUGGGACUGAGACACGGCCCAGACCUCCGACGGGAGCAG